AACGGUCUAUACCUGCGGUACCUGCGGAGGGAUCAUUAGUGAACGCCCUCACGGGCUUAUAACUAUUCCAAGCCUCUGUGAACCGUGCCCUUCGGGGCUAUUUUACAAACAUGGUGUAAUGAACGUCAUAUAUCAUAACAAAACAAAACUUUUAACAAUGGAUCUCU
rnacentral:misc_RNA from 1 species